rnacentral:rRNA from 1 species
AGAUUGAACGCUGGCGGCAUGCCUAACACAUGCAAGUCGAACGGGAGUAGCAAUACUCUAGUGGCGGACGGGUGAGGAAUACGUAGGAAUUUGCCCUUAAGUGGGGGAUAACCCGGGGAAACCCGGAUUAAUACCGCAUGACCUCGAAAGAGCAAAGUGGGGGAUCGCAAGACCUCACGCUUUUGGAGAAGCCUACGUCGGAUUAGCUAGUUGGUGAGGUAAUGGCUCACCAAGGCGACGAUCCGUAACUGGUCUGAGAGGAUGAUCAGUCACACCCGAACUGAGACACGGUCCGGACUCCUACGGGAGGCAGCAGUGGGGAAUAUUGGACAAUGGGCGCAAGCCUGAUCCAGCAAUGCCGCGUGUGUGAAGAAGCCUUCGGUGUAAGCACUUAGUGGAAGAAAACUACGCUACUAACACAGUGAAGUCUUGACGGUACCGACAGAAUAAGCACCGGCUAACUCUGUGCCUAGCAGCCGC